UACGAAGGGGGCUAGCGUUGUUCGGAAUCACUGGGCGUAAAGCGCACGCAGGCGGAUUGAUAAGUCGGGGGUGAAAUCCCGGGGCUCAACCUCGGAAUUGCCUUCGAUACUGUCUGUCUUGAGUCCGGGAGAGGUGAGUGGAAUUCCUAGUGUAGAGGUGAAAAUUCGUAGAUAUUCGGAAGAACACCAGUGGCGAAGGCGGCUCACUGGACUGGUAUUGACGCUGAGGUGCGAAAGCGUGGGGAGCAAACAGG
rnacentral:rRNA from 1 species